rnacentral:lncRNA from 1 species
AGUAGCUACUGGACAGCUUAUAAACUAAAAUCCCAUGUUCAUGAGAUCAUCAAAGCAAUCAAAAUGUGAAAUCUAGGACAUGCCAACCACUAAGAAAAUACUUUUGGCAUUCGCACGGAUUGAGCCUGGGUAUUUCACGUGACAGCGGGAGAGAUUCACCACUGUACUGUGAAGAUAUUAUACAUCUAAACAUGUGCUUAAGCAUCUAAGCUCCAGUGGAACACCUCACAUGGUGUGCUGUUGGGACAAUAACGUUUCGUCCCCGUUUUAAGAAAAACUACGAGAAUUGACAAGGUAGAAUACUCGGCUUGGAGAAUUUUAAGCCUGGAACUUCACAUGGAACCCCAGUUGGAAUGCCAGCACCACUCGCCACGAAUCUUUAGUCGGAGAAAUCUCGUCUUCACUACUUGUAUUGAAAAUGGAUUCUUUGCGCCGGCUAGCAGAGAAAUUGGUUCGCUGGGAUUGAAAGCCUGUCACACAACACAAGAUACUCUAAGAGUAAACUUUAAGACUUUGAAAACACGAACCUCGAAAAACUGGUGCUACAAAUCUCGGAAAUCGAUCCAUGCCCCGUGGAGCUUUUCGUUGGAGGAUCACCUCCCUCGCAGGGAAGUUUUUCCACUGGCUAAGAAAAAGCAUAUAGAAUCCUCUACAGUUUCCCGCAAGAAAAGUUCGAUUCCUAUGAAUCGGUCAGCAUCAUUAAACAAGCAGGGAGUGAAAAAAGGAGGAGUCCAUCGAGGCAAGUAGCAGCAAAGACGACAGUGACGAUAUAAAAAUGGCUGCGGUCUCGCAAAAGAAGUGCCGCACAAAGCAAGCAUCAGGAUGCAAAGUCGUCUUUGAGAGAUACCUGGAGUGAUUGGAAGCUAUAGCUUAGAUGGCAAGGAAUGAUAAGAUUUCG